rnacentral:lncRNA from 1 species
UGGGGGAAAUUUAUAAUUUUAAAAUUAAAAUCGUCUCGUUUGUCAUAGAUUCUGGUACUGAGAUGACUGUGUAAGUCAAAUUUGAGAUAUAAGUCUAAAAAUGAGGCGGAGGAAGCCGUGUCUGUUGUUUCUUUAAUCUCUAGUUCUGGAGGAUAUAUUAAUGGAACCCAAUCAGAAAAGUUCGGAUUGUUUAUGGAAAGAACAUCAUCAAUAUAUCUGAAAGUG